rnacentral:rRNA from 1 species
GGAGUGAAUAUUGCACAAUGGGCGCAAGCCUGAUGCAGCCAUGCCGCGUGUGUGAAGAAGGCCUUCGGGUUGUAAAGCACUUUCAGUCAGGAGGAAAGGGUGGGAGUUAAUACCUGCUAUCUGUGACGUUACUGACAGAAGAAGCACCGGCUAACUCCGUGCCAGCAGCCGCGGUAAAAAAAAAAA